GUUUGAUUCUAAAAUGCUCUGGA
rnacentral:piRNA from 1 species